rnacentral:rRNA from 1 species
CAGUCGCCGCGGUAAUACGGAGGGGGCAAGCGUUAUCCGGAAUUAUUGGGCGUAAAGGGUACGUAGGUGGCCUUUUAAGCGUAGGGUAUAAGGCAAUGGCUCAACCAUUGUUCGCCCUAUGAACUGGAAGGCCUGAGUGCAGGAGAGGAAAGCGGAAUUCCUAGUGUAGCGGUGGAAUGCAUAGAUAUUAGGAGGAACAUCAGCGGCGAAGGCGGCUUUCUGGACUGCAACUGACACUGAGGUACGAAAGCGUGGGGAGCAAACAGGAUUAGAUACCCCUGUAGUCCCUGUCUCUUAUACA